GACGAACGCUGGCGGCGUGCUUAACACAUGCAAGUCGAACGGGCUGCCUGGUUUUCGGAUCGGGUGGUGAGUGGCGAACGGGUGAGUAACACGUGAGUAACUUGCCCCUCUCUUUGGGAUAACGUCGGGAAAUCGGCGCUAGUACCGGGUAUUCUGGCUUCCUCGCAUGGGGUUGUUGGGAAAGGUUUUUUCUGGUGGGGGAUGGGCUCGCGGCCUAUCAGCUUGUUGGUGGGGUGAUGGCCUACCAAGGCGGUGACGGGUAGCCGGCCUGAGAGGGUGUCCGGCCACACUGGGACUGAGACACGGCCCAGACUCCUACGGGAGGCAGCAGUGGGGAAUAUUGCACAAUGGGCGGAAGCCUGAUGCAGCGACGCCGCGUGGGGGAUGACGGCCUUCGGGUUGUAAACCUCUUUCAGUGCAGAACAAGGCUCUUUGUGGGUUGAGGGUAUGCGCAGAAGAAGCGCCGGCUAACUACGUG
rnacentral:rRNA from 1 species